CUGGCGCUGGCGGACGCGCGUGCACGCGAAGGGGAGUCAGAUUAGUCCGGGAGUCAGAUUUCGAUACAACACCCUGUUGCUGACUUUUCAGAGGGAUCACUCCUGUUUUGUAAAUUAUGAUGACAAUAAACAGGGCGUUCAUAGUAAUUCUUUUCCUCAUUCAUGGUGUCUGUAGUGGUAUAUUCAAGAAAUUCCCAGAGCAGCAUGGAGGAUCUGUCUUUCUGGACACUGCAGGUAAUGCAGAAUGUGAAAAUGGGGUUGUGUAGAAAGUCAGAGAAAAAGGAGUGCAUGGCGUUCAGCAGGAGUCCCAUCGCAAAGUGUUUGGGGAAAAGUGUGGCUUGACCUAAUUCAAUGAGCUCCUCCUGGCUUAGUCUGUUUCUCGUUUGCUGAUCCAGGAUGAUAAUGUGUCCAACUCAAGCUGUAGAUAGCUGGGAUAAGUGCACAUCAACAGAAUAGAUCCAAAAAUAAACAAUGCAAAUAUGGAUAAAACCCAAUGUGAGCCAAUCAGAUAAGGAGCUGAAUAACUCCCCUAUCACAUACACUGAUCUGGGAACUCCCAUUCAUUCAGAGAAUUAACAGAAACAUAUUUGGAGAAACGGGGCAGCACAGUGGCACAGUGGGUAGCACGUUCGCCUUACAGCAAGAAGGUUGCUGGUUUGAACCCCGGCUGAGUCAGUUGGCAUUUCUGUGUGGAGUUUGCAUGUUCUCCCCGUGUUGGCGUGGGUUUUCUCCGGGUGCUCCGGUUUCCCCACAAAUCCAAACACAUGCGCUAUAGGUGAAUUGACCCUUCGCUAAGCCCCGCCCUCCUUAUUUACUGUUGGUACGCCUGUCAAGCUUUCAAUUAGUAUAUAAUUAGUCAUUUUUUGGGAACAGCUGACAUAUCCGAGAAAGCCAGAUAAAAAAGGACUGCAGUAUGCAUUACAUGAGUGUAUUAACGACA